AUGGACGCAAGUCUGAUGGAGCAACGCCGCGUGAGUGAAGAAGGCUUUCGGGUCGUAAAACUCUGUUGUUGGAGAAGAAUGGUCGGCAGAGUAACUGUUGUCGGCGUGACGGUAUCCAACCAGAAAGCCACGGCUAACUACGUGCCAGCAGCCGCGGUAAUACGUAGGUGGCAAGCGUUAUCCGGAUUUAUUGGGCGUAAAGCGAGCGCAGGCGGUUUUUUAAGUCUGAUGUGAAAGCCCUCGGCUUAACCGAGGAAGUGCAUCGGAAACUGGGAAACUUGAGUGCAGAAGAGGACAGUGGAACUCCAUGUGUAGCGGUGAAAUGCGUAGAUAUAUGGAAGAACACCAGUGGCGAAGGCGGCUGUCUGGUCUGUAACUGACGCUGAGGCUCGAAAGCAUGGGUAGCGAACAGGAUUAGAUACCCUGGUAGUCCAUGCCGUAAACGAUGAAUGCUAGGUGUUGGAGGGUUUCCGCCCUUCAGUGCCGCAGCUAACGCAUUAAGCAUUCCGCCUGGGGAGUACGACCGCAAGGUUGAAACUCAAAGGAAUUGACGGGGGCCCGCACAAGCGGUGGAGCAUGUGGUUUAAUUCGAAGCAACGCGAAGAACCUUACCAGGUCUUGACAUCUUUUGAUCACCUGAGAGAUC
rnacentral:rRNA from 2 species